AUGUUGUACUACUCUCUCCUGGAUGUCACUUGUCACCUCUACCAGCCCUCCUUUCUCCAGAUGGCUUCUUCAUAACCACCAGGUCAGAAGAGGAUCCGUUCCAAUGAUUUUCCUAAAACAAUGGAAGUGUUUUCCAAAGAGCUUAUAAGGCAUUGUAGGAUCUGGCCUGCCCUGACUCCACUUUACCAGAACCAUCUGCUGCUCUUCUCUCUUGUGUUACUCAAGGUAUUAGCUGCUGUGGCAAAUCAACUCUGAAAUCUCCGUGACUUAAUACAAGAGAGGUUUAUUUCUUACUCACGCUGGGUGCACUGCCACUUGGUAACAGAGGAGCUAUGGAAACUUGAGACCUAAGCAGAAAUGAGUUCAAUAAUAUUGCUACACUCUAGGACUUUCUCCAAAAUUAACAACAGAACAAAAGUGCAAGGCAGUGAUAACCCAUCUGACAGCAUUUGGGGAGUGUUUGUGAAAGCAAUGGUGAUGGAGGUUUUAAAAGAAUGUCAGAUCAUAUAAGCAAGAAUGUUGAUGAACAUAGCUUGGGACCAAGACGGCUUCAUUUUGAUCCCAAGGCCUGCUGACAAUGUGCUGAAAGGAAAGAGGAUCUUCAAUUUUUUUAAAAACAGGAAUGAUUUGGUGUGUUCGUUCUUAACAAUUGUUAAACAACAUAAAAUGUGAUUCUUAUACUUAA
ensembl:lncRNA novel transcript